UACGUAGGGGGCGAGCGUUGUCCGGAAUUAUUGGGCGUAAAGCGCGCGCAGGCGGUCCUUUAAGUCUGAUGUGAAAUCCCGUGGCUUAACCACGGGCGGUCAUUGGAAACUGGGGGACUUGAGUGCAGAAGAGAAGAGCGGAAUUCCACGUGUAGCGGUGAAAUGCGUAGAGAUGUGGAGGAACACCAGUGGCGAAGGCGGCUCUUUGGUCUGUAACUGACGCUGAGGCGCGAAAGCGUGGGGAGCGAACAGG
rnacentral:rRNA from 1 species